rnacentral:lncRNA from 1 species
CUUAACCCCAAUCAAUAUUUCUUUCUCUGCCAUAAAAUAAGAAGAGUGAACUUUAGCUAAGUCACUCUAAUAGGCAUUACUGAGUUACGUGAGAGUAAUUCCAUAGACCCACAUUAUCUACUCCUAAUUAAGAACAAGAGAUCUUCCUCCUUCUAAUUCUCCCCGUGACUCCACCCCGCUUUCCCCUGCAGUUCACGUGCCUUCUAAAUCUGCCAAGGAAGAGAAGGAGCAUUAUCCCAGACCGAUGGCCGAUGGAACCAUGUAGUCCCGCAGAAGAGAAACGCAGAGCACAAAAUGGCUCUUGAUGCAGCGGCAAGUGAGAAAUUGGGCAAGUACACAGACCGGAGGAGGAAGAUGCCUGGCACUUCGUGAGUCACCGCCAGGAGAGACUUCUGAAUUAUUACCUUACAUUCAGAUCCUUCCAGGACUGGACAGAACCAAGACUACCACCGCCAUUUUGCAAGCUGCCUCAUUCACAAGCAUCAAUGACAGAAAGUCAGGCACAGAGAGAAGAGCCGCAGUGCCCCCUGUUCAGCGUGUGACACCUGCACCCACAGUGCUCCUAGAGUCGCCCUCACCACUUGCUUGUCCUCUUGGACACAACCACUUAAUAACCGAAGGCCAUAUUCUGGAGAUUGCUGGCAGAUUCUUUUUCUCUGAAGCCUUUAGUAAGACUGGUAAAACGCAAUUCAUAAAACGGACUGGUGUCGGUUCCCUUUUCUCUCAUCCUUGUAAAAGCGCU